rnacentral:rRNA from 1 species
GGCUGAUUAGGUCGUUGGUGGGGUAAUGGCCCACCAAGCCGAUGAUCGGUACGGGUUGUGAGAGCAAGGGCCCGGAGAUGGAACCUGAGACAAGGUUCCAGACCCUACGGGGUGCAGCAGGCGCGAAACCUCCGCAAUGUACGAAAGUGCGACGGGGGGAUCCCAAGUGUUAUGCUUUUUUGUAUGACUUUUCAUUAGUGUAAAAAGCUUUUAGAAUAAGAGCUGGGCAAGACCGGUGCCAGCCGCCGCGGUAACACCGGCAGCUCGAGUGGUAGCUGUUUUUAUUGGGCCUAAAGCGUUCGUAGCCGGUUUGAUAAGUCUUUGGUGAAAGCUUGUAGCUUAACUAUAAGAAUUGCUGGAGAUACUAUUAGACUUGAAGUCGGGAGAGGUUAGAGGUACUACCGGGGUAGGGGUGAAAUCCUAUAAUCCUGGGAGGACCACCUGUGGCGAAGGCGUCUAACUGGAACGAUCUUGACGGUGAGUAACGGAAGCCAGGGGCGCGAACCGGAUUAGAUACCCGGGUAGUCCUGGCCGUAAACGAUGUGGACUUGGUGUUGGAAUGGCUUUGAGUUGUUCCGGUGCCGAAGGGAAGCUGUUAAGUCCACCGCCUGGGAAGUACGGUCGCAAGACUGAAACUUAA